rnacentral:rRNA from 1 species
AACGAACGCUGGCGGCAGGCCUAACACAUGCAAGUCGAACGAAUACGACCCUAGCUUGCUAGGGAAACGGUUAGUGGCGGACGGGUGAGUAACGCGUGGGAAUGUACCUCAUAGUACGGGACAACAGUUGGAAACGACUGCUAAUACCGUAUACGCUCUUCGGAGGAAAGAUUUAUUGCUAUGAGAUCAGCCCGCGUUGGAUUAGUUAGUUGGUGGGGUAACGGCCUACCAAGGCAACGAUCUAUAGCUGGUUUGAGAGAACGAUCAGCCACACUGGAACUGAGACACGGUCCAGACUCCUACGGGAGGCAGCAGUGAGGAAUAUUGGACAAUGGGCGAAAGCCUGAUCCAGCCAUGCCGCGUGAGUGAUGAAGGCCUUAGGGUUGUAAAGCUCUUUCAGUAGAGAAGAUAAUGACGGUAUCUACAGAAGAAGCCCCGGCUAACUUCGUGCCAGCAGCCGCGGUAAUACGAAGGGGGCUAGCGUUGUUCGGAAUUACUGGGCGUAAAGCGUGCGUAGGCGGCUUGUUAAGUUGGGUGUGAAAUCCCGGGGCUCAACCCCGGAACUGCAUUCAAAACUGGCAAGCUAGAAUCCGAGAGGGGGUAGUGGAAUUCCUAGUGUAGAGGUGAAAUUCGUAGAUAUUAGGAGGAACACCGGCGGCGAAGGCGGCUACCUGGCUCGGUAUUGACGCUGAGGCACGAAAGCGUGGGGAGCAAACAGGAUUAGAUACCCUGGUAGUCCACGCUGUAAACGAUGAGUGCUAGAUGUCGGGCAAUAGCUCGGUGUCGUAGCUAACGCGUUAAGCACUCCGUCUGGGGACUACGGUCGCAAGACUAAAACUCA